rnacentral:lncRNA from 1 species
UUGUAGUGUGUUUCUGAGCGCUUCACACCAUCUCUCUCAUCACCUGAAACUAACAGCACAUGUGGUUUUAACAAUUGGAGGACGUGGCGCCUCUUGUCUUUAAAUCAGCAGAUAUCUCAUAUGAUAGGGUGGCCAUUGUGGUCAACAGUUUAGAAGAGCUUCCUCCACGUCAAUAGAGGAAAUGGUGAGAAGCCAACCAUUACAGGGCGCAGACACAGUGAUGCUGAAGAAGGCACUUCAAGUGCAUAUUUUAUAGGGAACAACAGUACGAGCAUUAUAUCAACUCUGGUAUUGUGACUGAGACGUCAUGGCUUGUGCAGACAUCCCUAUGGACAUCCUGGGUCCUGAAUCUGAGGAGCAGGAGUACGAGGAGGCCGGGGAGCAGAGAGGAGAACUACUGAUCAAGUAUUACCAAGCAACUGAACUAAUGCCUGCUCCCAAAGGACCACUCCAUGACCUGUUGCUGAAGCAGCCUGCUGUGUUGGGGUCUUUGCAGAUGACCAGCGGUCUACUCAGUGUUGCAGUAGGAGUUGUGUUUGCUGCCACUCGGGAUGCGAGCCAGUCCCUUUUAACCACGUUCAGAGUGGCGCCCUUCACGGGACUACUAGUGAGUAGCGGUAGCAUUGUCUUUUAAUCGCUACAUCUUAUUUGUUUCAACGUCGAGGAUCCCUUUGGAAAUACUGAAAGUCUUCUGAUGAAGGUUUUCAAGAGUACUCCUCUGGCGUCAAAUUCACAGCUUGUUGGAUGCAUAUAUUGUUUGUUUUUUUUACCCACAAUUCAAUAGCAUUGACUGUAAUUUAAGGGUGAAUAUGUUUUACACGAAAUUCUGAAUGUCAUAUUCUCAUUUCAGUGUAUAAUAUACUGAUCAUGUAACUAUCACUAAAUUCUAAUUUAAGCAAUUAAGUCAAAUCAAUUAGUAAAAAACUGUUCAGCUAAAUUUCUGUUCAUUAAGCAAUAGUAAAAUAUUGAUUAACACACUAAUACAACCUAUUGAUAAUUGCUGUCAAUGUGAGGACCAUUAAAUGUGAUCCUUCUCUUCUCUCUCCUCAGUUCUUCAUCGCUGGGUUGUUAUCCAACCUGUUGUUCAAAUUCCCCAGACUAUUACCUGUGAGUCAAUAGUUUUACCUGUGAGUCAAUAGUUUUACCUGUGAGUCAAUAGUUUUACCUGUGAGUCAAUAGUUUUACCUGUGAGUCAAUAGUUUUACCUGUGAGUCAAUAGUUUUACCUGUGAGUCAAUAGUUUUACCUGUGAGUCAAUAGUUUUACCUGUGAGUCAAUAGUUUUACCUGUGAGUCAAAAGUUUUACCUGUGAGUCAAUUGUUUUACCUGUGAGUCAAUAGUUUUACCUGUGAGUCAAUAGUUUUACCUGUGAGUCAAUAGUUUUACCUAUGAGUCAAUAGUUUUACCUGUGAGUCAAUAGUUUUACCUGUGAGUCAAUAGUUUUACCUGUGAGUCAAUAGUUUUACCUGUGUGUCAAUAGUUUUACCUGUGAGUCAAUAGUUUUACCUGUGAGUCAAUAGUUUUACCUGUGAG